CCUUGCUUUGGCCAGUCUCCUCUGGAGAAGUAUAAAGGAUUACCCAGACCAUCUUCCUUCAUCUCAAAGACAUAAAUCAGGGAUGGGAAGGGCUCAGCUAAGGCCAUAGAGCCCGAGAAAUAUGGAGGCUCUUCUGGCACACACCCUCCCUCUCUCAAUAGCUCAGCCUUUCCUUAGCACAGAGCCCAGGAAGUGGAGGACCACAGGAAACCUGGCUGGCUGGUUGGCCUCUGGGUUGAGCUGACAUCAGCUUCCCAACAUCUGGUUAAACAUUGGUGCACCUGCCUCUGCCAAGUCAAGGCUAAUCCAAAGCCGGUGUGUUGUUUAACUCCGUUGGCCUGGAUCACCAGAGCAGCAACAGCAGCAGAGAUUUCUGCAGGACCACCAUUUUCCCCUGCCAGUCUCCUGGGUGACCCCAGGCCGGAUAAGACCUAAGGCACUCUAAGUCUGAGACUUCUACUCCGGGUUAACGGUGGAGGUGAUGAGAAGGGUCAGACCUUGAAUAGAAUCAUGCAGAGUAUUAAGAGGGGUAGGUGGAAGGACAGCAUAAUCAGCCAAGAAAAAAAGGAGGACGGAAAUUGCACAGCUAAGAGCAGAAACCGAUGUACUGCAUAGCUGGCACACAGCACAAGUGCCAACAAAGACGUGUACCAGAGACCUGCCCUCCAAAAGACCCAACAAGCAGCUGAAAGAGUCAGAUGCAGAUAUUUGCACCCAACCAAUGGACAGAAGCUGCUGACCCCUGUGGUUGAAUUAGAGAAAGAAGCUGAGGAGAAGGGUGACCCUGUAGGAGGACCAGCAGUCUCAACUAACCUGGACCCCUGAGAUCUCUCAGACAUUGAGCCAGCAAACAGGCAGCUACACCAGCUGAUGUGAGGCCCCCAGCACAAGUACAGCAGGGGACUCCCUGGUCUGGCGUCAGGCAGAGAAGAUGCACCUAACCCUCAAGAGACUGGAAGCCCCAGGGAGUGGGGAGAUCUGGGGGAGGGNAAUGGGGGUGCGGACAUGCUCAUGGAGACAAAGGGAGGAGGUAUAGAAUAUAGAACAGUCAGAGGGACCAGGAGGGGGAUAAAGUCUGGACUGUAAAAAAAAGAUUAAAUAAAAAAAAUAAUAAUGAGAGGACUGGAGAGAUGACUGAGCAGUUAAAAGCAGGUCCUUGCUCUCACAGAGGAUCAAAGCUCAAUUCCUAACACCUGUAUCGGGCAGCUCACGACUGCCCAUAACUAGCUCUGGUGGAUUGAACCCCUCUUCAGGCCUCCAAGGACACACACAAUAGAAAAUGAUGAAAAAGCACAUUUUUUUUAGAAUCAGCCAAUUGGACUCCAUUUUAGGUGAGCCCAGUUUUACUACUAACACGGAAAGCACUGCAAUGAGGAGGCAGGGGAAUGUGUCACUUCCCCCACCAGAAGCUGGAAGAGAAGACGAGGGGCUGGACUCACUUCCUCUUCUGCUUUGGACGCCAUCUUGAGAAAAAGGCAAGAGCUGGCUUUUGGAUGAGACCAUUAACUCACAUAAAUGCCAAGCUAAUUAAUACAAAGAAAGAUAAGCAAGAGCACAAGAACAAGCAAUAUCAGAAACAAAAGGGGGACUUAACUUGGGGAAACUGAGGCUGAGAGGCUCAGCAACCGGUUUGACGUCUGAGUGGUAGAGCAGAGGCCAGAGCUGGUGUCCUUUCCCUGCUCUCCGCAGCCUUCCCCAGCAAGCUGUUUGCAAGGCUGCACUUGGAUACCUGAAGUUUACCUUCUAGACACCUUGGCUCCCUGAGGUCACAGGAGAACUUGUGGGUUCUCCUUCCACUGUGUGGGCUCGGGGACUGAACGCAGCUCUUCUGGUUUAGCAGCAAGCACCUUGAUCUACUGAACCAUCACACGGGCUCCCUUUCAGAUGUACUCCAGGUUGACUUCAAACUCACCAUGUAUUGGAAGAUGACAUUGAACUCCCAGUCCUCCUGCCUCUAUACCCUAAAGGCUGGGGUGACAUUCCCACUGCACCAUGCCUGGUUCUAAACAGUGCUGAGGACUGAGUCUGAGGUUUCAAGCAUGCCAGGGACACAGACCCAUGACACUGAUCCACUAUGUCACCGUGAAUGCAAGAUGGUUGCCAAAGAGAGGUCAUCCUCCGUUACCUAUAUUCAGGUGGGUCAAUUACCAGCUUCAUGGAACUCCAAACCCUUCCUUGGGUUUGUCGAGCCUAGUAGGAGACUGAAUGGAUGUUCAGGGAGUGUCUGCUAAGAUCUUCAAGCGGCUAGAACUGAAUACCAUGGGAGAACAAGAGCUAGGAAAUCCAGAAAGGCUUCCCAGAGGAAGGCUGCACUGGUUUAGGCCUGAAAACAUUGGAGGAAUUGGAGUAGCAGAGGGAAAAGAUGAGAGGCAUUUCAGCUGAGGGGGACUAGCAUGUGCAAAGGGUCAGGGGUAGGAGAAAUAACAUGAACUACUUGCUUCCCUCGCUCUUCUGGAUAAGCCUGGGUGGGGAAGUCCAGCCUCUGCUCUCCCAGGCACUUUAGCCACCUUACAAACAUAUGAGGGCCCUGGGGCUGUCUAGGAACAAGCACCGGGUCUCUCAGAUGCCUUCUACUCUUGCUGUGCAGUCCCUGCAUAAGGCAUACCUUCUGCAUGCUGCUUCCUUUCCGAAGCACUGAGCACGUCCCUCUCCAAGGCACAUGCUGUUCCCUCUCCCAGGAGUAAUACGUUUACUUUGGUUCUCUACAAGAGCAGCCUCUUUAUCUUUGGGUUUGUCGGCUUGCAGGGACACUUUUCAAGCUGCCCUGCAUCUUGCACUCGCAUCCUGUCUCCGUUGCUUUUCUCGACUUCUAUUCUAGAAUCCAUAUUCACUUUCACCUGUUGUCUGUCUCUACCCCAACAGGGCAAGGUCAAAGUCUUAGUUAUAGGGACCACUGUGUCCUCAAGGCCCAGCAGAGGGCCUAACACAGAAUAAACAUUCUGGAACUUUCGUGUAGAGAGAAGGAAAGGUGUGUGUUAGGUCCUGUUGCAGCAUUAGCCCCCUGGAGGAGCCUGUCACCUGUGAGCAUGCUCAGAAGUGACACCGCAUUCCCCAGGGCACAUCCUUUACAUGAGAGUGGGGAGCAAGCAAUUGGUCCAAUUGCGCUUGAGGGUCCUUCUGCUCUGCACACCCUGCAAAGUCGGGGAGAACUAUCCUCACUGGGCUGUCUGACAUGGAAGACGGAACUUGCCACUCUUCGCAAUCUUCUCAAAUGCUCUGAUGUGAACAUGAGGUCUGUGCUUCGGACAGCCAUGCUCGUCAGUGUGUUCAUCAUUUCCUGAGGCCCAACCACGGGCCAGGUCCACAGUGCAGCCAUCAUGCAGACAGUAAAAUAGUUCUGGUGGCUGUCACGUUGAAGGCAUUUAAGAUAUGUUAGGGGCUUAGGGCCCCAGGACAGCCUGGCUGGAGUGUUUAGUGGGGGUGAGGCACUUGUAGAUCAAAUUAUUCCUUGGAGUUUUUGUACACGUGAGUCGCCCGGGAUCGUUUGUGGGGGGAGAUGGGGUUGUACACACAUGUGGAGUCUGGAGCUCAGUUGUUCUCCAUCUUCUUUGUAUAUUUAAUACAGAGCCUCUCACUGAGCCCAGGGCUUACGAACUGUUGGACUGGCUAGCCAGAAAGGACUCGGGGAUCGUCUCUUUCUAAGCCUCCCCAGUUGUGGGGUUACAGAUAUAGGCCACAAGGCCCCAUUUCAUUGUUACUAUUUGUCUCAGGUUCUGGGAAUUAAACAGUUCCUGGUGUUCGCAAGGCAAGACUGUAGUGACUAAGCAGUCUCUAGAGCCUUGGGGCAUCAUUGUUAUUUGAGACAGGGUCUAUCUAUAUAGCUUGAGCUAGUCCGGAACUUUCUAUAUCACCCCAAGUCUAGCCUUGGGUUCUUGAUUCUCCUUCCUCAGCCUGCUUGUGUCCCAGCACCCAAAUACAGGGGCAGCCCGUCUGAGCCAGGUACCUGCUUGUCUCUCAAAUCCUCCACAACUGGAUGGAGCUGACAAGAGAUGAUCUGUUUCUGGAUGAACAGGGACUUGCCCAGGGUCACCAGGCCAGGCGACUGGGCCAGGAAGGGCUGAACCACCUCCCCCACUGUGGGCCCUGGCACUGGGGCUGACUGGGCUCAGUGGGCCUUUGUGAGGCCACAUACCUGGGCUGGGAGGCCGCCACUCAGCUAUGAAUAGCGGCCUCUUUCCUUCCUGAGGCACCCGGCAGGCGCAUGCCCUCCCCUACACACACACUCACACGCACUCACGCCUGCUCAGCUCACUCGGGAAAGUCAACAGGAGUAUUUGAAAAGUCUUUCUGUGUAGAGAAUCUGUUUGGAUAGGGGGAGGACGGGAGAGCCAGCCAAUAGGUAGAAAUAUUAAUGAACCUAGUUAUAAAGGACCCAUUCACGGCUCGACGGGUAAAUAGGGCUCUUGUCGGGAGGCCACGUUAUCUGCCAAGUUCAAGAAUGUGGUUUGAAAAAAUAGAAUUUAAAGGGCUGAGGUGGAGCCUUAAAUGGCUGGUGUGCUGGAGCCACAGCCAAAUGAGGGAGGAGCCGGACUGGCCUGGGCACUGGGCAGGGGUUGGGGUGUGGGCUUCUGCUAAAGGGGCCGGGGACAGAGCUGGGAAAGGUGGGUGGAAUUCAGAGACAUCAGGCUGGGUGCCCAUCGAGUGCUUGUGAUAUCCCUUCUUCCCCCAGGUGCCUGGCCAAGGACUGGCAGUUUCUCUACUGAGCCCAGUGCAUGUAACUCCUCAGCUCAGAGACUUUGGUCAGAGGGGCCAACAGGGGCCAAUGGGCUAUAUAGGAAGGGAACUCGACUUCUCCUUCAGUCACUCACCAUGAUCCCACAAAGCUAGACUUCUUCUGCCACCACCAAGUUGCCCUAGUUGUUUAAACUGUGUAAGAAGGAGCAAAAAGAUGGGACUUGGUAAAUCUGUUCACUUCACAUGGGCAUCCCUCAGCCUAGCAGAGAAUCAGUAGCUCAGGGUUACACGGCAAGCUUGGAGCAGAAUAAAACAUUGGCUUCCAUCAGUUUCUUGCUGGAAACAGGCACCCUAGCAUGAGUCUCCCACAGUCACAUGCACAGAGGAGGUGCCUCGUCACAUAUAGGACAGUGUGUCAUUUUUAGCCCUGGACUUAAAGAAAAGUGCAAACUGGAAUGUUCUAACACUGCCCCUGGCCAGCAGUGUGGCCUAGGCAGGAGACUGACCUUUCUGAACAUCAGCUUCCCCAUGUCCUCCUGUUGGAAAAACUCAGUGGAAGGAUGCUGGCGAUGGGCUAGCGCUGUGCCAGGCACUUGGUGGGUGGCCUUGGGACUGUGGCUGGACCACUUCUUUUUCUGUCCCAGCCUGUGCUGUGAAGGUGGAGAUGCUGGGAAGAUAGCUCCCUGGCUUUGGGUUUUAGGAACAGUUUCUACCUGGAUCCUAGAAGGGUGGCCAAGGCCACGCUUGUGGGAAAGUGGCAAAUUUGAAGCCAGAGGUUCUGCCAUGGAGUGUGUUGGGCAGUGAGGCCCUGUGUGAACGAAUCUCAGUCAAGAUCUUUAAAACAGUCUGCAGGGAACCUGGACAUGCAGCACAACCCCUUCCCCAACACCAAACAAAUGCUUGUGCAGAACAAGGGUUAACCCGGAGCUGAGGGAACGUUUACAUUGUCUUUUCUUGGCAAAUAAAAGAAAAGGAAAUAACAUAAAAUCCAAAUGGAAACCUUCAGUAAAGGCUCUGCCAGGAGCUCUCUGAGCAGCUUUGAACAUGGGGACAUUCGGGGACUUGGGUUGUGGGACAUUAGAAGCAUUUGGUAUUAUAGGAGGUCAGAAAUAGCAUUUGGACCUUACAGACUUGGGUUCAAGAUUAGGCUCUGCGGUUCAUUGGCUGUGUUGCUUUGAGCAAAUGAUGAGUCUUUCUGUGCUCUCAUUUCUUAAUUCUAUACAAAGAAAGAAAAGGUUACCCUAUGUGAAGUUCCCUGGCACAUUAUGGAUACUCAUUCAACAUUAAUUUCCUUUCCUUUCUGGGCCUCCUGGAAGGGCCAGGGGAAAUGUCUGACAGGUCUCACCAGGCAGAGCUGGGAGCUCCUCGCAGCUCCAUGGGCCCCACAGCUGCACCUCAGGAGCUUAGUGUCAGGUAGAGCUUAUGGCGCUGACAGUUGGAAGAGCAUGUGCCAGCUUGCCAUGAGCGUUUCCCAAGGCUUUGCGUGAGGUGGGAAAGCAGUACCCACUACCCUAUUUUCCACUGAGACCAGGAGAAGUUAAGAAGCUAGAGCUCUCGGGCAGGGCCCAGAUCUGUUUUCAUUCCUUCAGCUCCUACUGUUGAAGACUUGUGCACCAAGCACAGUUUUAAACACGGGGGGUUAGACAGUGAAUAGAACAAGACACAGAUGGCUGGAUGAUGAUCAAGAGGAUGGACAGCUGAGUGGGUGGGUUGAGGGAUGGAUACUGAAUGGACGGUUGGGUGAGUACAUAGAUCAGUGGACCAAUAGAUGGAUGGUGAAUUAAAUGAUAUGGGUAGGUGAACAGACAGAGGGAUGAGUAAACAGACAAUGAAUGGCUAAGUAGGUGGGUAAAUGGGUAAGCAGAUGGAUGUGUGAUUCAUGGAUGGAUGGGUAGCUGGAUGGAUAGAUGGACAGACCAGUGAAUGGAUAGACAGAGAUGCAGAGGUUGAUGGGUAAA
rnacentral:sRNA from 1 species